rnacentral:lncRNA from 1 species
AAGAAGGAGAAAUAUCUCACCUGUGCCAUUAUGAUUACAGGUGCUACCUGUUGUUCGGAAGCCAUGACGAGAGGUUACAUGGUCAACAGCGGCACUGAGUCAUGAAACCGAAUAAUACGUCAAUGCUGACAAGUUUCUUUUUACACAAAGGUGAAAGGAAUAAAAGCUCUCCAAGCAAUGAGAAAGAAAAGGCAAGGAAAAGAAGGCAAAGCAAGAAAAAGAGAAAAUCGGGUGCUCCUGGAUGCCCCUCUUAGUGCCCUA